GUAGUCUGCAACUCGACUACAUGAAGCUGGAAUCGCUAGUAAUCGCAGAUCAGAAUGCUGCGGUGAAUACGUUCCCGGGUCUUGUACACACCGCCCGUCACACCAUGGGAGUCGGAUAUGCCCGAAGCCAGUGACCCAACCGUAAGGAGGGAGCUGUCGAAGGUGGAGCCGAUAACUGGGGUGAAGUCGUAACAAGGUAAC
rnacentral:rRNA from 1 species